CACACACGGGAUUGGGCUUUCGCAGGGAGAAAUCCUGCUUCAGCCUCCGGUGGCGAGCAAUCGCCUCAGCCCGUGGAGGUUCAACCGGAAAAGGAAAAUA
rnacentral:sRNA from 1 species